GACGAACGCUGGCGGCGUGCCUAAUACAUGCAAGUAGAACGCUGAAGAGAGGAGCUUGCUCUUCUUGGAUGAGUUGCGAACGGGUGAGUAACGCGUAGGUAACCUGCCUUGUAGCGGGGGAUAACUAUUGGAAACGAUAGCUAAUACCGCAUAACAAUGGAUGACACAUGUCAUUUAUUUGAAAGGGGCAAUUGCUCCACUACAAGAUGGACCUGCGUUGUAUUAGCUAGUAGGUGAGGUAAUGGCUCACCUAGGCGACGAUACAUAGCCGACCUGAGAGGGUGAGCGGCCACACUGGGACGGAGACACGGCCCAGACUCCUACGGGAGGCAGCAGUAGGGAAUCUUCGGCAAUGGGGGCAACCCUGACCGAGCAACGCCGCGUGAGUGAAGAAGGUUUUCGGAUCGUAAAGCUCUGUUGUAAGUCAAGAACGGGUGUGAGAGUGGAAAGUUCACACUGUGACGGUAGCUUACCAGAAAGGGACGGCUAACUACGUG
rnacentral:rRNA from 1 species